GCUUCAAUUAUUUAUAGCCUCUGGCUAUAGGAAAUUGUUAGUGGCAGACGGGUGAGUAAUGCGUAGGAAUCUACCUAGUAGUACGGAAUAGCCAUUAGAAAUGGUGGGUAAUACUGUAUAAUCCCCGAGGGGGAAAGAUUUAUCGCUAUUAGAUGAGCCUACGUUAGAUUAGCUAGUUGGUGAGGUAAUGGCUUACCAAGGCUAUGAUCUAUAGCUGGUCUGAGAGGACGAUCAGCCACACUGGAACUGAGAUACGGUCCAGACUCCUACGGGAGGCAGCAGUGGGGAAUAUUGGACAAUGGGCGAAAGCCUGAUCCAGCUAUGCCGCGUGAGUGAAGAAGGCCUCGG
rnacentral:rRNA from 1 species